rnacentral:tRNA from 1 species
GGCGCCAUCGUCUAUCGGUUAGGACAUCGCCCUUUCAAGGCGGAAAGACGGGUUCGAUUCCCGUUGGCGCUACCA